CCUACGGGUGACAGCAGUGAGGAAUAUUGGUCAAUGGCCGUAAGGCUGAACCAGCCAAGUAGCGUGAGGGAAGACUGCCCUAUGGGUUGUAAACCUCUUUUAUGCGGGGAUAAAGGUGUCCACGUGUGGAUGUUUGCAGGUACCGCAUGAAUAAGGACCGGCUAAUUCCGUGCCAGCAGCCGCGGUAAUACGGAAGGUCCGGGCGUUAUCCGGAUUUAUUGGGUUUAAAGGGUGCGUAGGCGGGACCUUAAGUCAGCGGUAAAAUUGCGGUGCUCAACGCCGUAGAGCCGUUGAAACUGGGGUUCUUGAGUGAGCGAGAAGUAUGCGGAAUGCGUGGUGUAGCGGUGAAAUGCAUAGAUAUCACGCAGAACCCCGAUUGCGAAGGCAGCAUACCGGCGCUCAAUUGACGCUGAGGCACGAAAGUGCGGGUAUCGAACAGGAUUAGAUACCCUAGUAGUC
rnacentral:rRNA from 1 species